rnacentral:tRNA from 1 species
GCGUUGGUGGGUCAGCGUAGAACUCUCACCUUCCAUGUGGGAGACUUGGGUUUGAUUCCUGGCCAGUGCA